ACCCUGAGACUUCUAGUGCGAGUUUGCAGGUGUGGGCUCCGCAGUCUCUCCUCUCCGGGCGCCAGCGGCUGCGAGGCUGGUCAUGGGGGAGCAGCGCAUGUCUUGCCCCCGCGGCUACGCAGCGCCUCAAGACUUGAAGAACCGAUUUCUUGCCAAAGGUCACAGAAGAGAAUUUUGUACUAGGACAGCUGGAGAAGUGCUUCCGUUUAGAGGUAACAAGCAGUUGGGGGACCAGCAGAGGUACUCACGUUUCACUUUUCAGGGCUGGAUCAGGCCAACCCUUGCUUCUCCAAGAGUGGUUACCAACAGGCAGUAUGGGCCUCACGCUGGAGGGAGCUGAGCUUGCUGGAAAUGCAGGAUCUCAGACGCCACCCCUGAUUGGCUGAACGAGGAUCUGCAGUUUAACAAGAUCACCAGGUGAUUCUAAAUGUCAUAUAAUUGCAACCAUUUAGACACCAACCCAAGGAGCUGGACAAGUAUCUCCAAGGAACGCAGGAAGAACUCCUGAUUUUUAACCGGACACAUGGCCACCCAGCUAGAAACCGUUUCUCAGCAUCCCUGGAUUCUGAGUGUGACCAUGUAGCUGAUUCUGGACGAUGGAAUGUGACCAGGAGUGAUGCAUGCCAUUUCCAUAUUGUCCCCUAAGUAUUUUUGGACUAGAGUUCCUUUUGCCUAUUCCCUUUCCUAAAGGAUCAGUUGCAGAUGUGACAAUGGGAGCUAGAAAAUAUACCUGAGACCCAGAGCCUGUCUAGGGAGUAACCUGUCUGCUGUGUUGAUGAAACUCCUGCCCAGUGUGAAUGCCUGACCAAAGCUCAAGUGACUCACGAGCUGCUGUAUGUUUGAGGGACACUCAUCUGAAGGUCACUGAUCAGGUGCACAGGUGGGCAACUUGGAAAAGUCACACACUCAGCCAGAGGCAGAGUCCUGCCAAGCCAAAUCUUCAUCUUUGCAGCCUGGCACCUUAUCUCUUAGAUUAACUGUAGUGUUGUGAGGACUGCAAGGGACGUGAGGAGCUAAGGGAAGAAGGACUGUCACGGGGGUGCAGGUGGGUGUAUAUAAAGUGUGAAUCACCUUGGGGUAUUCAUUUUGGGUCAUUUCUCCAUUGGCCUAUUUCUACUGACUCUGGGCCCUACUCCCUUUCCGCUAUGGGUUGAACUGUGCCCCUACCCCACCACAUUCUCCUGCAGAGAUCCUAACCCCCCAAUACCUCAGGAUGUGACCUUACAUCUUUUUUUUUUUUUUUGCAGAUGUAAUCCAGAUGUAAUCCAGUUAAGAUGAGGUCAUUAGGGUGGGCUCCACUCCAAUAUGACCGGUGUCCUUAUUAGAAGGCACAUAGACACAUACAGAGAAAAUGGCCAUGUGACAAUGAAGGCAGGGGUUGAAGUGCUACAGCUGGCAGUCAGGAAUCACUCAAGAUUGCCAGAAAACCACCAGAAGCCAGCAAGAGUCAAGGAAUGAUCCCCCUACACAAGACUUCAGAGAGAGCACGGCUCUCCUGACAUCCUGAUUUCAGACUCUAGACUCCAGAACUAUAAGAUAAUAUAUUUCUGUGGUUUUAAGUUACCCAGUUUACGGUAUUUUGUCAUGGCAGCUCUAGGAAGCAAAUAUACUCUUUUUGGCCAGCCCGACUCUCAGAAAUGGUCAAAACUGGCAGAGCUGUCCAAACAGCAGGGCACCUAUAGGAUUCUAAUCCCUUACACAGAGUUCUGGGAGGGAGCAGCUGGGCAGGCUGGGGCCCUGAUUUACAGGGUUUCCUUUAGAUUAAAACCAGAAUGCACCAGACAUGAAAAAGUGCAAGCCUUAUUACUUAACACUGACUCCUACCAGCGUUAUGAGGGAAAGAAACAGAUCAGGGGUAUCUGGAAGAUCUUCCUGGGAGGCUGAGCCCCAGACCAUGUGUCAUAUUCUCCUAGUUUCCUUUUUUGGUAUGAUUCUUUUUCUGGGACAAAACUCUGCCCAAAUUUUACUCAGACCUCCUAAGAAGGUGAAGGUAACUAGACACAUGUGAGUAUCAUGCACUUUUCUCAUUUAAAUAUCAUUACAAUAAGGUGGGGAUCCUAUUGCCAGGGCAACUAGUAACAGAAAAUGAGCAGUGUAGUUUUGAUAGAGACUCUUACUCCACUUGGACUGAUUCCUACUGUGUCCCUGGCUACCCUCUCAUUUGCUAGUAAAAGAAUAUAACCGUU